rnacentral:misc_RNA from 1 species
GAUGAAGAACGCAGCGAAAUGCGAUAAGUAAUGUGAAUUGCAGAAUUCAGUGAAUCAUCGAAUCUUUGAACGCACAUUGCGCCCGCUAGUAUUCUGGCGGGCAUGCCUGUUCGAGCGUCAUUUCAACCCAUCAAGCUUAGCGCUUGUGUUGGAGCCCUGCGGCCGCCGCAGCCUCCUAAAAUCAGUGGCGGGCUCGCUAUCACGCUGAGUGCAGUAGUAUUCUUCUCACUCCUGUGGUGUAGCGGGUAACCAGCCGUAAACCCCCCCAUCUAUAAAGGUUGACCUCGGAUCAGGUAGGAAUACCCGCUGAACUUAAGCAUAUCAAUAAGCGGAGGA